rnacentral:tRNA from 1 species
GCUCUUCUAGUAUAUUAAUUACAGUUGACUUCCGAUCUCUAGAAUCUGGUAUAAACCCAGAGGAGAGCA